GUAGGUGGCAAGCGUUGUCCGGAAUUAUUGGGCGUAAAGCGCGCGCAGGCGGUCCUUUAAGUCUGAUGUGAAAGCCCGCGGGCUCAACCGUGGAGGGUCAUUGGAAACUGGGGGACUUGAGUACAGAAGAGGAAAGCGGAAUUCCAAGUGUAGCGGUGAGAUGCGUAGAGAUUUGGAGGAACACCAGUGGCGAAGGCGGCUUUCUGGUCUGUAACUGACGCUGAGGCGCGAAAGCGUGGGGAGCAAUCAGGAUUAGAUACCCUGGUAGUCCACGCCGUAAACGAUGAGUGCUAAGUGUUAGGGGGUUUCCGCCCCUUAGUGCUGCAGCUAACGCAUUAAGCACUCCGCCUGGGGAGUACGGCCGCAAGGCUG
rnacentral:rRNA from 1 species